CCUACGGGAGGCAGCAGUGAGGAAUAUUGGUCAAUGGACGAGAGUCUGACCCAGCCACGUCGCGUGAAGGAUGACUGCCCUCUGGGUUGUAACCUUCUUCUAUAUGGGAAUAAAACAGGGUAUGCAUACACUCUUGUAUGUACCAUAUCAAUAAGGAUAGGCUAACUCCGUGCCAGCAGCCGCGGUAAUAUGGUGGGUCCGAGCGUUAUCCGGAUUUAUUGGGUUUAAAGGGUGCGUAGGUUGGUUGUUAAGUCAGCGGUGAAAGUUUGUGGCUCAACCAUAAAAUUGCCGUUGAAACUGGAAGACUUGAGUGUGUUUGAGGUAGGCGGAAUGCGUGGUGUAGAGGUGAAAUGCAUAGAUAUCACGAAGAACUCCGAUUGCGAAGGCAGCUUACUAAGCCAUAACUGACACUGAAGCACGAAAGCGUGGGGAUCAAACAGGAUUAGAUACCCGAGUAGUC
rnacentral:rRNA from 1 species